UAAAGGGUCCGCAGGCGGGGCGAUUAAGUCAGGGGUGAAAUGGUACGGCUCAACCGUAGCACUGCCCUUUGAUACUGGUUGCCUUGAGUCAGAGUGAAGUGGGCCGGAAUAUGUAGUGUAGCGGUGAAAUGCAUAGAUAUUACAUAGAACACCGAUUGCGAAGGCAGGUCACUAACUAUCGACUGACGCUGAUGGACGAAAGCGUGGGGAGCGAACGGGAUUAGAUACCCCGGUAGUCCACGCCGUAAACGAUGGAUACUAGCUGUCGGGCUUUAGGGCUCGGCGGCCAAGCGAAAGUGAUAAGUAUCCCACCUGGGGAGUACGUUCGCAAGAAUGAAACUCAAAGGAAUUGACGGGGGCCCGCACAAGCGGUGGAGCAUGUGGUUUAAUUCGAUGAUACGCGAGGAACCUUACCAGGGCUUAAAUGCAGAAUGACAGGUUUAGAGAUAGACUUUUCUUCGGACAUUUUGCAAGGUGCUGCAUGGUUGUCGUCAGCUCGUGCCGUGAGGUGUCAGGUUAAGUCCUAUAACGAGCGCAACCCCUGUCGUCAGUUGCCAACAGGUAAUGCUGGGGACUCUGGCGAGACUGCCGGUGCAAACCGAGAGGAAGGUGGGGAUGACGUCAAAUCAUCACGGCCCUUACGUCCUGGGCUACACACGUGCUACAAUGGCCGGUACAGAGAGCAGCCAUCCGGCAACGGAGAGCGAAUCUAUAAAACCGGUCACAGUUCGGAUCGGGGUCUGCAACUCGACCCCGUGAAGCUGGAAUCGCUAGUAAUCGGAUAUCAGCCAUGAUCCGGUGAAUACGUUCCCGGGCCUUGUACACACCGCCCGUCAAGCCAUGGAAGCCGGGAGUGCCUGAAGUCCGUCACCGUAAGGAGCGGC
rnacentral:rRNA from 1 species